GUGGUGCAAGUGAAGAUGCUGUGGCUACCACCCCAACACCAAAUCCCCCAACUACAUCUGACCACACUGCAGCUACCGAUGAUGCAAGUGAGGUUGCUGUGGCUGCCCAAACUGGAACUACUGUAUCCCAUACGACUGAAGUCUGAUUCGACUGCUCCUCUGGUCACAAUGACCCGAGUCACUGUCUGGACUUUUUGCCUCUACAUGUUGACUGCAAUAAACGACAGAUUUGUUUUUUAAUCAAAUGUUGUCUUGCCUUUUUCAAAUUGAGGCCUUGUCCUGUUUUGGUGGUGGAGAUGACUAUGACGCC
ensembl:lncRNA